AGGAGCCGUGUGCGGUGAAAGUCGCAAGCACGGUUUUGAAGGAGAGGCUCGAGGGGCGACCCUUGGGUCGACUCUCUCAUCGGGAACAGUCAAGAAAAUGUUAUUUUAAAGACAAUUUACCCCAU
rnacentral:ncRNA from 1 species